rnacentral:lncRNA from 1 species
UUUUUAUUAUGCGGUUUAUUAGCUUUUAUUUAAUUAAAAUUAUAUACAUAAGAAAUAAUAUAAAAAAUAUUUAAGAAAUAAAUAAACCAAUUUACGAAAAUAUACUUAAUCUAAAUUCAUAAUUAAAACUUAAUUUAAAUUACAUUAAUAAUAAAUAAUAUAUAAAAUUUUAUAAACUUAAAAAAAUUAACAAAUAAACUAAAAUUAAAAUAACAGCAAUUUGAAAAAAAAAAACUAAGAAACAAAAAAACAUCAAAACCGCUUUCAACCCGCAGUCUGAACUACGUUUCUCCCAAUUCUCCCAACCCGCAACAAAGUUGUGCACCCCCAAACCAAACCAACCGCAGAUCCACCGACGGUUGCCUUUUAGCGCUGAUCCAACUGUGGCGCGACUACAUUCGUCGUUUGCAUGCGUUCCAUUUGCAGUUGGACAACGCACCCCCAAAACUCAUACGUCGUUCGUACUACGGCAGGGGUUAACCGCAGUUCCAGUUGCGGUUCGAUAUGCGGCACCCCCAAAACCAAUCUGCCCUUCGUACUGCAGCAGGUGUUAACCGCAGUGCCAUUUGCGAUUAACCCCGCCGAUCCCAUUCCCACAUUUCAGAUACACAUUGAUAAAUAGUUUAGAUGAAAAAUGCAACCACAAACAAACCAUGAUUCUCACACCCAC